UUGAGACAGGUGUAACCCAGCUGAAACAGGGUUUUCACCCUUCCUUUCUUCUGGUUUCCAUCCUCUCGCCGGAAGGUC
rfam:Tomato apical stunt viroid-S stem-loop RNA